GUGGGGAAUAUUGGACAAUGGGCGAAAGCCUGAUCCAGCCAUGCCGCGUGAGUGAUGAAGGCCCUAGGGUUGUAAAGCUCUUUUAACGGGGAAGAUAAUGACGGUACCCGUAGAAUAAGCCCCGGCUAACUUCGUGCCAGCAGCCGCGGUAAUACGAAGGGGGCUAGCGUUGCUCGGAAUCACUGGGCGUAAAGCGCACGUAGGCGGACUCUUAAGUCGGUGGUGAAAUCCUGGAGCUCAACUCCAGAACUGCCUUCGAUACUGGGAGUCUCGAGUUCGGGAGAGGUGAGUGGAACUGCGAGUGUAGAGGUGAAAUUCGUAGAUAUUCGCAAGAACACCAGUGGCGAAGGCGGCUCACUGGCCCGAUACUGACGCUGAGGUGCGAAAGCGUGGGGAGCAAACAGGAUUAGAAACCCUGGUAGUCC
rnacentral:rRNA from 1 species